rnacentral:rRNA from 1 species
UACGGGGGGGGCAAGCGUUGUUCGGAAUUACUGGGCGUAAAGGGCGCGUAGGCGGCCUUCUAAGUCAGACGUGAAAUCCCUCGGCUCAAACCGAGGAACCUGCGUCUGAUACUGGAAGGCUUGAAUCCGGGAGAGGGAUGUGGAAGUUCCCGGUGUAGCGGUGAAAUGCGCAGAUAAUCGGGAGGAACACCGGUGGCGAAGGCGGUUCGUCUGGGCCUUACCUGGACGCUGAGGAGCGAAGACGUGGGGAGCGAACAGG